CAAAUGCAUGUACUUGUUGGUCCCUUGCAUAGCCAUAAUCUGGAUGGUCUCCCCAAUGUGGAUUGUAUGUGUUAUGGUAGGGAUCAUGUCUUGGCUGUCCAUAGGGUCCUUCAAAUGCUAGUGCUUGUUGGGCCAUUUGAUCCACUUCGUGUUGGAAACGUUGCAAAGCCUUUAAUUUCUCAUAAAGAUCAGUAUUGAAACCUUGAGGUCUUGGUUGGGCUUGUUCAGCUUGGCCUAUAACAAGAAUUCUCACAGCAGAGAUUAGUUUAGAAAGUUGAGAACAGUAAACAGAUGUACUUACCUUAGCCAUGAUUCAGAUCUGCGAUGGUGACCGUGCCUUUGGUGAGUUUUUUAUUUUUAUUUUUAUUUUUUUAUUUUUUAGUUUUAUU
rnacentral:lncRNA from 1 species